ensembl:misc_RNA Metazoa_SRP Metazoan signal recognition particle RNA
GCAUGGUGUGGUGGUACGCACCUGUAGUCUCAGCUACUCGGGAUGCUGAGGCAGGAGGAUGCUUGAGCCCUGGAGUCGUUGGCUGCAGUGUUAUGUCCUUCAGGUGUCUGCACUAAAUUGAGCAUCAAUAUGUUGACUUCCUGGGAGGGAGGGGCAACUACCAGGUUGCCCAAGGAGGGAUGAACCAGCCAGCUGGAAAUGGAGCAUCUCAAAACUCCAGUGACGAUCAGUAGUGAGACUGCACCUGAGAACAGCCAUUGUGGUCCAGACUGGGCAACACAGAGAGAUCCCAUCUCUU